rnacentral:rRNA from 1 species
UAAUGUAUGGGGAUCUGCCCGAUAGAGGGGGAUAACUACUGGAAACGGUGGCUAAUACCGCAUAAUGUCUACGGACCAAAGCAGGGGCUCUUCGGACCUUGCACUAUCGGAUGAACCCAUAUGGGAUUAGCCAGUAGGUGGGGUAAAGGCUCACCUAGGCGACGAUCUCUAGCUGGUCUGAGAGGAUGAUCAGCCACACUGGGACUGAGACACGGCCCAG